GAUAAGAUGGCUGAGGGUAGAGGCGAUAGAUUGUAAAUUUAUUAACAAGUUAAAACUUUUUUAUCA
rnacentral:tRNA from 1 species